rnacentral:lncRNA from 1 species
GCUCCCUGCCGGGUAGGUGUGGGAGAUGCAGGGCAGCAGGCAGCAGGACCACAGAGGAAAGGGCUGCUGGGCCUCUCUCCGGAGACAGAAGAGGUGACAAGCAGCGACUCAUCGUGGGAACAUGAGGGCGGGCACAAGCGCUGCCUCACCCUGGAUGAAAAUGGGACCAGCCACCAGCAACACACCUCCCCCUAGUGGUCACGUCAGAAACUGCACCAGCAUCCUCAACUCCUCCCCGUAUCAAGUCAACAGUAGACUUCCCUGACCCUCACAAGGCCUUCAGUGAGCCGGGCGGGGGACAGGUGCAGGCAAGGAAAGAAGGGAGUGAUUUCGUUGGACACGUGAAGAUUCUUCAGUAAGAGGAAUACAUUUCUAGCUAGCAGCAGAUAAAUUUUCCACCUCCUAUUCAAACAGUUGGCCUGUUGCUUACUUAUAGCCUCAAGGGAGGUGAUGGAGACCACUACAAAGUGGCUCUCAGCAGGAUUUAAAAUUAACCAAUCGGCUUUUUGUGUUUGCUUGUGAGUGUGCC